rnacentral:rRNA from 1 species
GACAGAGGGUGCAAACGUUGUUCGGAAUUACUGGGCGUAAAGCGCGUGUAGGCGGCCAUCUAAGUCGGGCGUGAAAUCCCACGGCUCAACCGUGGAAGUGCACUCGAAACUGGAUGGCUAGAGUCCUGGAGAGGAAGGUGGAAUGCUUGGUGUAGAGGUGAAAUUCGUAGAUAUCAAGCGGAACACCGGUGGCGAAGGCGGCCUUCUGGACAGUGACGUGACGCUGAGACGCGAAAGCGUGGGGAGCAAACAGG